AUUUACCAAGACAAAGCUACGAGCUAUGAAAAUCUAUGGAGAAUUAAAGAAAGUAAAGCAACCAAUUUCACCAGGAAGUCGCAUUGCCAGCUUUCUCAAUUCUAUUUUCACCUCAGGGAGUGCGAAGAAAGUAAAAAUGUGUUCCAUUGGGGCCGUGGAUGAUUCGAGUUCCGAGCAUAAAUCAAAAUCUACAUGUUCUUCGGUGACAUCCUUUUCGAGGUCUUGUUUGAGCAAAACCCCACCCUCAAGAGGGAAACAGAGCAAUAAAAAUAAAAGGUCAGUUAGAUUCUAUCCUGUUA
rnacentral:misc_RNA from 1 species